UACAGAGGUCUCAAGCGUUGUUCGGAUUCAUUGGGCGUAAAGGGCGCGUAGGCGGCCUGUUAAGUCGAACGUGAAAUCCCCGGGCUCAACCCGGGAACUGCGUCUGAUACUGGGUGGCUUGAAUCCGGGAGAGGGAUGCGGAAUUCCAGGUGUAGCGGUGAAAUGCGUAGAUAUCUGGAGGAACACCGGUGGCGAAGGCGGCAUCCUGGACCGGUAUUGACGCUGAGGCGCGAAAGCCAGGGGAGCAAACGGG
rnacentral:rRNA from 1 species